AGCGAACGCUGGCGGCAGGCUUAACACAUGCAAGUCGAGCGGGCAUCCUUGUGGUGUCAGCGGCAGACGGGUGAGUAACGCGUGGGAACGUGCCCUUCGGUUCGGAAUAACUCAGGGAAACUUGAGCUAAUACCGGAUACGUGCGAGAGCAGAAAGGUUUAUCUGCCGAAGGAUCGGCCCGCGUCUGAUUAGCUAGUUGGUGAGGUUAUGGCUCACCAAGGCGACGAUCAGUAGCUGGUCUGAGAGGAUGAUCAGCCACACUGGGACUGAGACACGGCCCAGUCUCCUACGGGAGGCAGCAGUGGGGAAUAUUGGACAAUGGGGGCAACCCUGAUCCAGCCAUGCCGCGUGAGUGAUGACGGCCUUAGGGUUGUAAAGCUCUUUUCUCCGGGACGAUAAUGACGGUACCGGAGGAAUAAGCCCCGGCUAACUUCG
rnacentral:rRNA from 1 species